GGUCUGGUGGUCUAGUGGUAUGAUUGUCGCUUCGGGUUUCGUUCCCCAAUUCGGUAAACCGGAUACUGUGACAGGUCCCGGGUUCAAUCCCCGGCCAGACCC